ACAACAGAAACAAUUGAAUGGAAAUUUUUUAUGUUACAUAAAAUAUUUAUUCCAUUAAAACAAUUAACAGAAAAUCACAAUUGUUCUGCAUGAUUGCAUGGUGUUAAAAAAGAAAGAUUAUUGGCAAAACCGCGAUAAAGGCGAAAACUUUUUAUAAGUUGGCGUAUUACAAACGAAAGGAGGUAAGAGUUAGGAAUUAGAGGAAGAUUUAUGUCAAUCCAGAUACGCGGCAACAAACAACGGGGGACAAGUAAUCAAAUUUUACCGUAAGAUGACGGCAAACACGUCGGAUAUUUGUCGAACACUUGACAGAACCUCUCCGGCACGAUGGUUUUCCGCAGUUGUAUGUCUGUGAUACGCGCGUCUCUGAUUGUGCCUCGGUUAAAAAUAUUCUUGUAUCAAAUACAAAAAGCUUCUUCUUUAUCGUCACAUCGAUUAAUAAAUUUACCAGACAUUUCGUAUCCGGAUCAGAGACAAAAAUUUCAAAGUAUGCAUAAUCACUGGAUCAAGUUUGAAAGUAACGCGUGCCAUCAAUUGAUAUUCUCAUAAACUAAAAUCCACUCGGAUGAUCAUCAUUCCAGUGGCAAAUUCACGCGUGGAAAGUACGUCGUUAUGUGGAUAACGUUAUUCAGAACGGGUAUGGAGGAGGAGAGGAGCAAGUCGAUCAACUGAAGUUUCAACCGCGCGUAAUGAGAUUAUUCUGUUCUGCCGGGAUGUCAACGCACGCCUAGCUACCGUUGGGCUGACGUGAAACCUGCGCUGAACUUCCGGUUGAAACUUUUACGGUUAAUAUUCAGUAAAAGGGGGAAGAAAGAGAGAGAACGAAAAGAGUUAUGCGCGACAAUAUGACGCGUGAUAAAAAUAUUAACGGAAACGGGAAACAAUUCCUUCCUCUAUAAUUUUAUCCCCCAUUUUUUUCAUCAUUUUGUUCCUUUUGCUUCUCUCGCAAAAUAAUUUUCCAAUUAAACAUUUUUAAACGUCAAACUAUUAUAAUAUAUAAAUUUUAUUUAUUUAUAUUAUUUU